UAUAAGAGGUCCAGCCUGCCCAGUGACCAAAAGUUUAACGGCCGCGGUAUUUUGACCGUGCAAAGGUAGCGCAAUCACUUGUCUUUUAAAUAAAGACCUGUAUGAAUGGCUAAACGAGGGCUUAACUGUCUCCCUUUUUAAGUCAGUAAAAUUGAUCUACCCGUGCAGAAGCGGGUAUAAAUAUACAAGACGAGAAGACCCUUUGGAGCUUAAGGUAAAAACUCAACCACGUCAAGCAACCAACAUAAAAUAGCAGUAAACCUUGUGGUUAAAUGAGAUUAUACCUUCGGUUGGGGCGACCACGGAGGAAAAAAAAGCCUCCAAGUGGAAUGGGGAAACCCCCUAAAACUAAGAGAGACAUCUCUAAGGCACAGAACAUCUGACCAUAAAUGAUCCGGCUAAUAAAUAACCGAUCAACGAACCAAGUUACCCUAGGGAUAACAGCGCAAUCCUCUCCCAGAGUCCAUAUCGACGAGAGGGUUUACGACCUCGAUGUUGGAUCAGGACAUCCUAAUGGUGCAGCCGCUAUUAAGGGUUCGUUUGUUCAACGAUUAAAGUCCUACGUGA
rnacentral:rRNA from 6 species